rnacentral:rRNA from 1 species
GACGAACGCUGGCGGCGUGCUUAACACAUGCAAGUCGAACGAUGAAGAAGAGAAACGCGAACUUCGGUUCAAAUUUCACUUCGGAUUAGUGGCAGACGGGUGAGUAACGCGUGAGCAACCUACCUCUUACAAAGGGAUAGCCUCGGGAAACCGUGAUUAAUACCAUAUGACACAUUCAUAAGGCAUCUUAAGAAUGUUAAAGCUACGGCGGUAAGAGAUGGGCUCGCGUCCCAUUAGCUAGUUGGUGAGGUAACGGCCCACCAAGGCGACGAUGGGUAACCGGGCUGAGAGGGUGAACGGUCACAAUGGAACUGAGACACGGUCCAAACUCCGACGGGAGGCAGCAGUGGGGAAUAUUGCACAAUGGAGGGAACUCUGAUGCAGCGACGCCGCGUGAGCGAUGAAGGAAUUCGUUUCGUAAAGCUCUGUUCUAUGGGAAGAAAAGGACUGUACCAUAGGAGAAAGCCCCGGCUAAAUACGUG